GGUGAACGCUGGCGGCGUGCCUAAGACAUGCAAGUCGAGCGGGCCGCGGGGUUUUACUCCGUGGUCAGCGGCGGACGGGUGAGUAACGCGUGGGUGACCUACCCGGAAGAGGGGGACAACCCGGGGAAACUCGGGCUAAUCCCCCAUGUGGACCCGCCCCUUGGGGUGUGUCCAAAGGGCUUUGCCCGCUUCCGGAUGGGCCCGGGUCCCAUCAGCUAGUUGGUGGGGUAAUGGCCCACCAAGGCGACGACGGGUAGCCGGACUGAGGGGGUGGCAGGCCACAGGGGCACUGGAACACGAGCCCAACUCCUACGGGAGGCAGCAGUUAGGAAUCUGCAGCAAUGGGCGAAAGCCUGACGGAGCGACGACGCUUGGAGGAAGAAGCCAUUCGGGGUGUAAACUACUGAACCCGGGACGAAACCCCCGACGAGGGGACGGACGGUACCGGGGUAAUAGCGCCGGCCAACUCCGUG
rnacentral:rRNA from 1 species